UUCAUUCUUUUGAGAUCUUUGUAAAUAGCUAAAAAUAUAAUUCUAAGAAUAGUUGAAAGUUAUUAUUCCUUUAGAAUAUUAAUAUUUUAUAAAUGAAUAUUAGUUUAUUUUUUAAAUGAUCUAGUUUUUUUUAAUCUUUCCUGAAAAUAAUUGGCUUAGUUUGAAAGAGUGGGACUUAUAUAAGCCCUCCUGUUUUCAGAGAAGAUGUUGGUAUAUUCUCUUCAUUAAGAAUAACUAACUGUAGACAAGGUUAAUAAUAUCCUUAUUUCUAUUUCCUACCCUCAUGAUUUCUCAGCCAUACUUAAACCUAUAUAUCCACCCUUGAGAGAGAAUAUCAUUCCCUGUUUCAGAAGAAGAAAAAUUUGAACUAUGGAGCUAAACAUUGUAUGGUAGUUGAUGGAUAAAUAUAACAUUUUUCUUUCUCUCCAAAAGUGUUCUUUUUUCUCUGAGAGAUUAUAUUUUGAAUGUACUUAGAGUUUUGCUUAAUGUUGGCAAUGCACUAGAAUUUAAUGAACUGUGGUAUAGCAGAGAAGCUAAGCAACAAAGUAAAUGUGUGAUAGCUUAUGCUUCAGACAAGGACUAGAACAUCUCUAGCUGGCACCUUUGUUUCAUCUGAGCAUUUGGAGGUAUAGUUAUUUGUGUCACAUUUAGUUGGAUACAAACUGAGACUGAGAACAAUUUAAUCCAUGAUUCUAACUAAUGAAGUACAAAUGUUUUCUGUAAUUGUUCUUUUUACUUUAUCCAUCAUGCCAUGACCUUUUGCAAAGGAAAGAGAACAGUUUGUCUCUAAGUAUUUGAGGCUGUUUGAGAUCAUCCCUUCCAAUCAUUGAAACUGAGCUUCCCACUGAUAAUGACUUGCCAGCUAAUUGACCUGUCAGGGCUCUGCAUUUCAGAGCUGUGGAUCAUCACAGUCUGGGGUUUGGUGGGUUUGGGUUUCGGUUUUUUGAGAGGUUUUUUUUUUUUUUAAGUUGUCUUUUGUAAGAUUUUUUUCACUCCAUGAAAGUAUAAAAUAAUUAAAGAAAUUAGUUCUGUCUUACUUGUUUAGAAAGGCUGACAACAUUGGUUGACAUUAAUUAACAACAUUUAUUUGGUGAGAGCUUACAUAGAAACUUUAUCUUGCUUCUUUUUUUUAAAGUGAAUUUACUCUGGAUAUAGGAUUAACUCUUGAGUUGAAAUUACUUGUUAUAGCCUCAUAAACAUAGACUAAGUGUUAAACUAUUUAAAUUUAAGUCUACUAAAAGGCCGAGUAUUUUGUAGGUGAUUAGCAGAUAUUUAUAGUAUUGGUUGAAUGAAUGAGAGUGAAUGAAUGAAUAUGAUUUCAGCUGAGCAUAUUCCAAAGAUUCUGAGCAAAUCUGCAGAUAAAUGACAUCACUUUUUAAUCCACUUCAAAGUGCAUUUAUAACUUUCCUAUUUUCUAUCUUUUUGUAGCUGUAGCCAUAGUUUUCUCAAAGGUACAAUCCAGACCACAAAUACUAAUCUUUGUUAUUUUCUCUGUUUGUGGAUGGAAAAAGAGUUUGAAUUUUCUUUGUCUCAAGCUUCCAAUUUGGUUUUUCCUAGAGCAAUACUUUGUGAUAUUGGAGACAGGAAGCUGAUUUUCAUCUGUGUCUCCUGCAGGGCAAUCAUUUUGCAUUAACUAAAGCCCAGUGGCAGAUGAGAAGGUGUCAGUGUCGAAAGACUUCAUUUCUCUUUCAUUCCUUUCUAAUCUAUACUACAAACCUUACCUUUUUAACAGAGGUGAAGGGCAAGGGCAAGGAUUUACAGAGAGGAAUAAGCCACUUAUUACAAUCAAUGCAUUUGGAUUUUUUUGCUGUAGCAUUUUGAAGAGAUAGGAAGAACAUAAAGCAAAAAUUAAGGAGAUCACUAUAAAAGAGAUGGUAGUACUCAAAUCUUCUUUACCUCUGGUUUUUAGGUUAUCUCCACUUAAUAGAUUGAGCAGGUUGGUCAGUAAGGAACGGCUAACUUUUCCUAAGUAGCCAUAAUUACAUAAUUUUUAUACUCUUCUCUUUUGGAGGAGAAAAUUUGGCAAUAAAAAGGGAAAGUAUCCUCCUAAUCAGGAAAGUUCUGGAUUCAAAGGUCACUUAAUGCCUUAGUGCCUAAGGGGCAGAAUAGGAAUCUAAAUAGGUAGAGCUUCUUCACUAGUAGUUCCCUAUUCCAAUGAAUUUACCACUCCCCCCAAAAUAAGAGCCUAUCCUAUCCUAUUCUGGAAAAACAUUUAAAGUCCUUUAAAAUCUUAGCAUGGUUGUCGCUGUCUAAUUUUUGAAUAAACUUAUGCUUGCCCAUGUGAAAACAAAUACUUGAAGCUUCUCUGGAUCUUCAGAGCCAAAGCCCCAAAUAUAUGAUAUGUGAUGUCCUAAUUGGCUAUACUGUUUUGAUUUUUAUGUUCAGCCCAAGAGCAAGUAACUAUUGCUUUUAUAUUACUAAUAGACUUUUUAAAAGUAUGACAUUUAAGUUAAUUUUGAAUGCCUUCAUUUUCACACUUGGGUAGAGAUAAUUGCCUGAUACCUGAAUGAAUACAAGGGAGAAAAUUUUUUUAUUAAGAGGUUCUUAUGUUCCAGGUCUUGUGGAUGUGUAUAUUGGUUUACUUGUUGGCCAGUAAGCCAUUUUCCACAUCUAAGACAAUAUUCCUUUUUGAAGAAGGAAAUUUUAGUUACUAGUUGACAAUGAAUUAUGAUCUCUGUCUUCAAAUGUGGCCAAAGAGACCAAUAUAAAAGUAUCAGUCCCUUCCACACAGAGAUAAGGGAAAUAUGUGCUAUGAUCUGUGACUACAGACAUCAUUAAGGAGUUUGUUCUUGUUUCCAAUAUGGUCUCUUAGAUUUCAAGAAGCCUGGAGGAUCAUUCUAUUUCAGCAUAAACUGAAGAAAGUGAAUACAUUGAGCUUUAGUUUAUCAUGUUUUAGUUUUAGUCAUUGUAUAUUGCUAUGCAACAAUUAAAUUCAGCAAACAAUUCUUUCCCCCCCCUGAGGCAAUUAGGGUUAAAUAAUUUGCCCAGGGUCACACAGCUAGGAAGUGUUGUGUCUGAGACUAGAUUUGAACUCGGGUCCUCCUGACUUCAGGGCUGGUGCUUUAUCAACUGCACCACCUAGAUGUCCCGGCAAACAAUUCUUAAGUGCAAGGCAUUGUGCUAGGCACUGGGAAUUAAAAAAUAAUAACAGCCAUUUCCCCUCAAGUAGCCUACAGCUAAUCAGGAAAGUGUGACAUUUAAACAAAUAAGUAUGAUCCAAGUAGAAUUUGAGUCAGGCAAAAGUAAAAUCAUAUAUGCAGAGUGCUAUAAGAAAGUUGAAACAGAUAACUUGUCAAGGAACAUCUUCAGGCUUAACUUGGGUACCUGCCCAGAAUUGAGAAUGUAUCUAACAUGGAUAAAGUAGGGAGCUUUGUUCUGGACUUACUAAAGGGAGAUGUGAAUUUCUGACUUAGACACUGACUUAGACACAACUUAUAAGAAAACUUCCCUUUUGUCUUCCACUGCACAUCUAUAGGAAUAUUUAUAGAAAGCUGAUCACAGGAACUCUGUAUGUUAGCAUCAUACAAGAAAUGAAUAUAUAUAAGGAGAGCUAAAUUUCAAGAAAUUGUGAUAUUGUGAACAAAUUAUUCUACUAUAAUAGAUCCAUUUCCUAUAUGAGUGAAAUGACCUUUUUAAAGUAGGAAAUUCCAACUUCUCUUUUACUAUAAUCAUGUACUACAUAUCUGUAUCUGAGGGGCAUUUACAUAGCUUACCUGUAUUUUGUGAGGGUAACUUCAUUUUGUUUGUUUCCUAGUCGUGGUUAUAAAAUAACUACGGAUCAAUAUAUUAUCCCUCACCAGCUCUGAUAUUGUUAAUCCAUCCUAGAUGGGUUAGGUACUUGUCAUUGGUCAUAGGUACUUGUCAUGAAUGGAUGAAUUAUUGUCCUUGAUGAUACUAAUAAGAAAGAAAUAAAAAUUUAUUCUGCCACUCCUCCAUCUUAGUUAAAAUUUUACUAUUAAUUUAAGAGUGUAAUCGUGGUUCUGAUUAUUCAAGUCCAUUUUAAAGAAUAUUGCCAUCAAGGUAAGGGAAAUAUUAAAAAUUUUUAUUAAUUACUCACAUUUUAUAGCACUUUUAAGAUUUACAAAUCGUCUUCCUCCUAGGCAGUUCUGUAGGUAAAUAGUACAAAUAUUAUUAUCUCCAUCUUACAGUCAAUCUCCAAAUAUUCAUUAAGCAUCUCCUUUGUGUCAAACAUUUUGGUCAGCUCUAGAGAUACACAGAAAAAAGCAAAAAUGAUCCCUGCCCUCAAGGAGAUUACAUUCUAAUGAGGGAGAUACAUGUACAUAAAUUGGUGCAAUAGACACAUAAAUUGAUAUACACAAGAUAAAUGUAGAGUAAGUGGAAGGCAGCUUUAUGGGGAAGGCAUUAGAAGCUAGUAGAACUAAGAUAAAUCCCUAGAAAAAAAUUGAUCUCUAGGCUGAGUCAUAAAUAUGGAAUCAAAAGAUGGAAUUAAAAGGGAUAACUUUCCAGGAAUGAAGGAAAGGCCAUGGAGGUAGAAGAUGGAACAUCAAGUUCAAUAAAUGAACCAGUGUGGCUGAAUGAUAGAAGCUAGAGAGGAAAGUGGAGAACUUUAAAUGUCAAGUAGUAAUUUAUAUGUAAUCCUAGUGAUAAUAAGGAGCUUUUGGAGUUUCUUAAGUAGUCAUGUCUAUGCUUUAGGAAAAUCUCUUUAACCAACUAUGUGGAGGGUGAAGUUGAGAGAGGCUUGAGGCAAGUGUCCAAUUUAGGAAGUUACUGCAAUAAUCCUGGAGUCUAGAGUUCAUUAGGAUUUAAAUUAGGGCUAGGGUGAUGGUUGGUUUGAGAAGAGAAUGAAUAUAAGAGAUGUAUAGAAAUUAUAAGAGAAAUCAAGAAUAACAUUAAGAUAGGGAAUCUGGGUGAAUAGAAGAGUGAAAUACUGAAAUAAUAAUAAAGAACUAUAGAAGAAGAUAGAUGUUGUUAUUGUUGUUGUUGGUUUUUUUUUGGGGGGGGGCAUUCUGUUCUGGAAACAAGUAUGAGAUACUUAGAGGACAUCAAGUUUGAAAUGUCCAAUAGGAAGAUGGUGUUGGAGAGCUUGAACUCAAGAGAACCUGGGUAUUGAUAACUGUGCCUGAGAAUCUUCCAUAUAGACAUGCUAACUGAAACUAGCAAAGCUAAAGAGCUUACCAAGCUUACUAGAAUAUAUACAGGAAAGAAAAAGAAAUGAAGGACCAAGACACAACCUUGGAACUCAAAAGUUAAUGAGCAUGAUAUGGAUAAAGAUCCUACAAGAGAGAUAAAAGGAGAAAGCAAAUAAACAGAAUAACCAAGAAAGAACAGUAGAAAAAUCCAGAGAGAAAAAUAUCCAGGAAGUAAUUGACAGUGUCACUGAUUAUAAAAAGGAUUAGGAUUUCAAACUGCUAUAAUUUGAAAGUUAAGAGAUCCCCAGUAACUUAAAAGAGAGUAGUUUGAUUGUAAUGAACAGAUCAGCAGCCAUAUUGCAAAGGAUUUAAAAGUGAGAAGAGAGAAAGUGAAUUCACCAAUCAUAGGUGGCUUUUUCAAGUUUAGCUGACAAGGGUAGUAGAAAUAGAGGAUGGUAGCUGGUACACAUGAUAGGAUCUAAUAAAGUUUUAUUUACAGAUGGGAGAGAUACGGGACAUAUAUGUAGCCAGCUAGGAAGGAACCAUAGAUAAUGAAAGAUUGAAGGUUAAAGGGAUUGUGGAAAUGGUGGUAGGUGCAAGCUGUUAUAAGAUAGGAAGGAGAUAGCAUUAAAGGUACAAAUACAGGGUUUGGUUUGUUAAGCAGAAAACCAUCUUCUUUGAUCAGAUAUUAUAGUGAAGUAGGAAAUAGUGGGGAAUAAUGUUAGAGGGAUGUGAAAUCAAGAGGAGAGAAGAGAAAGCUCCUGGGAAAUGUUUGGUUCUUAUUGAAAUAUAUGGGAGUCCUCCAGCUGAAAGAGUAGAGAUAAGAGAUAAGGUAAGUAGAUUUAAAUGAAAAAGAAGUUUGAAAUAGCCAGUAAGGAGGGUAAAAUGAGGAAUCAGAUAGGGAGGAGUAAUAAGAUUACCUUGCUGUAGUGAAGAACCUGUUAAGAUUAGUUAACAGACUUUACUUCUUUUCAGCAAUGUGUGUGUGUGUGUGUGUGUGUGUGUGUGUGUGUGUGUGUGUGUGUGUAAUGUUAACUGGACAGAACUGGCCUAUAACUUGUGGGUGACCAGAGUCAAACAGAGCAGGCUAGAGUCAGGAGAGUCAGGAAUCAAACAGAAGUUUAAUUUCAAGGUGCUAAGCCAAAAAGGACUCCCCUUACCCUUAACCUCAAUGUGGCUAAACCUUAAUACCUAUAUAAAUGGCUUUGCAGUGAGCUGUAGCCCUGACAGUGAAGGCAACAGCAACAACAUGACAAAGCUUCUUGGCCAGAAUUUUUCUGGUACUGGUCAAAGCAAUACAGUAAUUAUAUGAUUUUUGCCAGAGGCUGAGUGCAAAGUAUUGUUGUUAUGUCAUACUCAGGGUACAGUUUGUUUGCCAGACCUUAGUUCCAGAAAACAAGGUGUCCCCUAAUGGUAUCUUGUCAGUAUGAAAGGAGGUAGAUGGUAGAAAUAAUCCAGGGUUGGUGUUUAGCAAGGUAUGAGAGGCUAUGGGACAAAGGAACUAGGGAUUCCACAAUACAGGGUACCAUUGAAUUGAACUGGUUCACCAAGGGAUUAAGAUUGGGAAGGAAGGAUAAUGUAAUCAAAGUAAUGGACUAAAUAGAGAAGAUUGGAGAUGAAGAUAACAAAUAAGUUGAGGAAGGAUAAAAUAUUGAAAGAUGGAAGGAUUACAGAUUAUGAUCAAAUAAAAGAAACUCAGAAUUAGAACACUUGUGGGAGACAGCAAAAUUCAGGUAAGUCAUAAGACCAUGCCUGUGUGUAACAGAGAUGGGUUGAAAGAUCAGAUCUUAGGAGAGCCAACAAAGUAUCAUUUUCCAAAAGAUGACAGCAAAAUAAGGAGGGAAAUGAGGAAAUCCACAGGAAUGGACCAAGACUGAGUACAUAUCUUGGAAGUUUAAGGAUCAAUUCCAUCAGUUAGAGUACAAGCAAAAUCAGUACGGUUGUUCCAACUGCUGCCAGGAGGUGCUGACAAGUGAAGAAGUGUAAGAGGAGAAGAAAAUAUACCAAACAUUUAAUAAGGCCCAGAACCUUAGUCAUUUAAUAAAUUGCCAUGGAUAAUUAGGCUUCA